rnacentral:lncRNA from 1 species
CCACACUGCAAAGAACGUAGAGGUACACAGGACCCAGGAAACGCUUCCUGCUGCACACCUGAAACUCCCGCUGCCCGGCCUGUCACACCGUGUGUCCUGUCACACCCCGUCCACACGUCUGUGUCCUCCUGUCACGCCCCGUCCACACGUCUGUGUCCUCCUGUCACGCCCCGUCCACACGUCUGUGUCCUCCUGUCACACCCCGUCCAUACGUCUGUGUCCUCCUGUCACACCCCGUCCACACGUCUGUGUCCUCCUGUCACACCCCGUCCACACGUCUGUGUCCUGUCACACCGUGUCCACAGGUCUGUGUCCUCCUGCCACACCAUGUCCACACGUCUGCAUCCUCCUGUCACACCGUAUUCACGAAUCGCCCCAUCCUCUGAACUGUGUCUUCCCGUCAUGCCGUGUCCUCAUGGGGUGAGAAGUGCAGGGGUCUCUGGGUCCUUCCUGUUGGGUGCUCACCCCACAGACCUCAUCGCCCGAGGGGCCCCGCCUCCCUUUUCCACACCCCGGGGUUAAGAUUUCAGCAGACAGAGGAGAGCAGGGGUGGACACCGACAUUCAGGCCAGAGCAAGUGAGGAGCAACAGCCGUGCCGUCCGCUGCUCCAGUCCCUUCCUCACAAUACUCCUCUCCCACAAGAACUCGGCCCUCGCGUCCUAGACGGAGCUGAUGGCACCAAGCCCACAGCUGAUUGUGUCCUAUUCCUGCGGGAAGGACACAUGUCUUGCCCCACUUAUCUCGGGAAGCCCCGGGCCCACCCCACCACCUUCACUGGGAUCCCAGUCCCACACAUACCUGACCGUGAGCACAGCUUCUCUGACCGGCUCUCAGUGUCACAGACGUGGUGUGACAGGAGGACACAGACGUGUGGAUGGGGUGUGACAGGACACAGACAUGGGACAAGGUGUGACAGGAGGACACAGACAUGUGGACGGGGUGUGACAGGACACAGACGUGUGGACGUGGUGUGACAGGAGGACACAGACGUGUGGACGCGGUAUGACAGGACACAGACGUGGGACGGGGUGUGACAGGAGGACACAGACGUGGGACGGGGUGUGACAGGACACAGACGUGGGACGGGGUGUGACAGGACACAGACGUGUGGACGGGGUGUGACAGGAGGACACAGACGUGGGAACCCGGUGUGGACAGGACACAGACGCGCGACGGGGUGUGAGAGGACACAGACAUGUGGAUGUGUGAUGUACAG